rnacentral:piRNA from 1 species
GUGGGCAUGUAGUGCUUAAAACAGUUAGGG